UACGUAGGGGGCAAGCGUUGUCCGGAUUUACUGGGCGUAAAGGAGCGCGCAGGCGGUCGAAUAAGUCGAAUGUGAAAGCCCCCGGCUCAACUGGGAGGGUCAUUCGAUACUGAUCGACUCGAAGGCAGGAGAGGGUAGUGGAAUUCCUGGUGUAGCGGUGAAAUGCGUAGAGAUCAGGAAGAACACCGGUGGCGAAGGCGCUCUGCUAGGCCGCAACUGACACUGAGGGACGAAAGCU
rnacentral:rRNA from 1 species